GUGAAUCAUCGAAUUUUUGAACGCAAAUUGCACUCUCUUCGGAGAGUAUGCCUGUUUGAGGGUCAGCCUAAAAAAAAAAUGGAUAUAGUCGUUGUUUCGGGGUGAUAUUUGUGGGAAAUUGUGAUAUUUAAAAUCUUGGGGUUUUAAGGGGGUAAAAUUUUUUUUUAGGACUACGGGAAG
rnacentral:misc_RNA from 1 species